CUGACUUCAUUUGACAGCUAUGUGCUGCCGACUUGAAUCUAUUUUUGAAAAAUACAAUUUAUUGGAAAAUUUAAACGGAUAAAAAUACAAUAAAGUUUAUUAAAUGAAUUAAAAGACCCUAUGAUUUGCAUCCGAAAGCUGACACAUGCUUGAAUUACAAUGCCUAGAAUUUCUAGGUCGUCUACAAUUGAUUGAAAAUUGCUACCCUUUGAAUAUAUUAAGUUAAUAUAAUGUAAAAUGAUAACGAUAACGCGAGAUGAAAGCCUUCAAUGCCAGAUGCAUCCUCUACUAAUUAACUAGAAGAAAUGGAAAUAGUUGGUUCUCUCAGUGAUAAUACGAAUGGAGCUGACACUUUGCAGUCGGAUAUAGCACCACAGCUUAGGAUGGAACUAUGCAAAUCCACUGUGCGUUUUAUGUUGCACAAAUGGAAGAAAGCUACAUAUACAUAUGUAUCUUUAAAGGGACAUAUGUUUAAGCUGUCUUUUGUUAAGAGUCGAGGAAAUGAAAAUGUAUCUAUUGGUUUGAGGAUGCAGUGUGCAAUGUACCACAUUAACUUAUUCAAAUAAUAAAUUCAAAAAUAUUUGUAUGUAUGUAUGUAUAUGUAAAUGUAUUCUUUACCUCAAAGACUUUUCGAGCUACAAAUAUGAAAUAGUACUAUAUCAAAUGUAUAACUAGAAGUCAAUGAAUACUCGAAACAAAGUACUAAGGGCAUACAUUCUCAGUGUUUGCUCAAUCCAUCACUAAAUGUGGACAUACAAAGAACUAAAUUUACACCGAGAGUGUUCAAAUUCUUUAUCAAGACUGCAGUAUUAACAAGAAUUUUGGAUGUUUUGACAUUAAGUUCGUCACAAGUUAAUCAAGUCGGCGGAAGUCUUAAAAAUAGCUUAAGUAAAAUCCUAACCUCAAUUUUAAGUAAAUGCGUAUUCGCCAUCUAUACUUUGCAUUGUACAUAUAUAACUUUACAUACAUAUAUGCUGCCCGAAAACGGCAUUAUAAGCUUACAAUAUACAGAGAUAAAUAUAAUAAUGCUGACUUACAUUCUUAAGAGUCAAAAUAUCAAAUCAGAGUUCCGUGUGAAUCAAAUCAGGGCUAUAUGUAUGCAACGCCCAAACGGAAGGCGGAAAUAAGCCUCAUAAUUCGUUGCUAAAAGAAUUCUUUCAUAACACACACAAACAGUUAUAGCUAAUUGUACGCACAAUUUAAGAAUACAGUUUUUUAUAUAUAUAAAAGCGCCCGACGAAUAAAUACUUUAUAUUACACGCAUACAUUAGACUUAGCUCAUUAACUUUAAACCACUUUUACAACAAUAUUUUCACU